AAAGAUGAGCCUUUGAGUCCCUCUAGGCAGAACGGAGACACACACGUUGCUUUGAAGCUUCACAACCCUCAGAGUGUGGAGCGGGAGCAGAGCCCUCGCUCCGCUGAAAGCCCUCGGCCCGGAGGAGGCUCCCAGGGGCCGACCCAGUCGCAUCACGUCAAGCCCUCCAAGAGUAUGGACCUGGCAGUGUCCAGUGAGGAGCUGGGUCCCA
ensembl:lncRNA